rnacentral:rRNA from 1 species
GACGAACGCUGGCGGCGUGCUUAACACAUGCAAGUCGAACGGUAAGGCUCCAGCUUGCUGGGGUACACGAGUGGCGAACGGGUGAGUAACACGUGGGUGACCUGCCCUGCACUUCGGGAUAAGCCUGGGAAACUGGGUCUAAUACCGGAUAGGACCGCACCGUGAGGGUGUGGUGGAAAGUUUUUUCGGUGUGGGAUGGGCCCGCGGCCUAUCAGCUUGUUGGUGGGGUAAUGGCCUACCAAGGCGGCGACGGGUAGCCGGCCUGAGAGGGUGGACGGCCACAUUGGGACUGAGACACGGCCCAGACUCCUACGGGAGGCAGCAGUGGGGAAUAUUGCACAAUGGGCGGAAGCCUGAUGCAGCGACGCCGCGUGGGGGAUGACGGCCUUCGGGUUGUAAACUCCUUUCACCAUCGACGAAGGGUUUCUGACGGUAGAUGGAGAAGAAGCACCGGCUAACUACGUGCCAGCAGCCGCGGUAAUACGUAGGGUGCGAGCGUUGUCCGGAAUUACUGGGCGUAAAGAGCUCGUAGGUGGUUUGUCGCGUCGUCUGUGAAAUUUCCGGGGCUUAACUCCGGGCGUGCAAGCGAUACGGGGCAUAACUUGAGUACUGUAGGGGAGACUGGAAUUCCUGGUGUAGCGGUGAAAUGCGCAGAUAUCAGGAGGAACACCGGUGGCGAAGGCGGGUCUCUGGGCAGUAACUGACGCUGAGGAGCGAAAGCAUGGGGAGCGAACAGGAUUAGAUACCCUGGUAGUCCAUGCCGUAAACGGUGGGCGCUAGGUGUGGGUUUCCUUCCACGGGAUCCGUGCCGUAGCUAACGCAUUAAGCGCCCCGCCUGGGGAGUACGGCCGCAAGGCUAAAACUCAAAGGAAUUGACGGGGGCCCGCACAAGCGGCGGAGCAUGUGGAUUAAUUCGAUGCAACGCGAAGAACCUUACCUGGGCUUGACAUAUACAGGAUCGCGCCAGAGAUGGUGUUUCCCUUGUGGCUUGUAUACAGGUGGUGCAUGGUUGUCGUCAGCUCGUGUCGUGAGAUGUGGGGUUAAGUCCCGCAACGAGCGCAACCCUUGUCUUAUGUUGCCAGCACGUUGUGGUGGGGACUCGUAAGAAACUGCCGGGGUUAACUCGGAGGAAGGUGGGGAUGACGUCAAAUCAUCAUGCCCCUUAUGUCCAGGGCUUCACACAUGCUACAAUGGUCGGUACAGUGGGUUGCCAGUCCGUGAGGGCGAGCUAAUCCCGCAAAGCCGGUCUCAGUUCGGAUCGGGGUCUGCAACUCGACCCCGUGAAGUCGGAGUCGCUAGUAAUCGCAGAUCAGCAACGCUGCGGUGAAUACGUUCCCGGGCCU